rnacentral:rRNA from 1 species
UACAGAGGGGGCAAGCGUUGUUCGGAAUUACUGGGCGUAAAGGGCUCGUAGGCGGCCAACUAAGUCGGAUGUGAAAUCCCCAGGCUCAACCUGGGAACUGCAUCCGAUACUGGAUGGCUUGAAUCCGGGAGAGGGAUGCAGAAUUCCAGGUGUAGCGGUGAAAUGCGUAGAUAUCUGGAGGAAUACCGGUGGCGAAGGCGGCAUCCUGGACCGGCAUUGACGCUGAGGAGCGAAAGCCAGGGGAGCAAACGGG